rnacentral:rRNA from 1 species
CAGUCGAGCGCGAAAACACUUUCGGUGUGAGUAAAGCGGCGGACGGGUGAGUAACGCGUAGGAAUCUACCUAGUAGUGGGGGACAACUCGGGGAAACUCGAGCUAAUACCGCAUACGCCCUACGGGGGAAAGCGGGGGACCUUCGGGCCUCGUGCUAUUAGAUGAGCCUGCGUUGGAUUAGCUAGUUGGUGGGGUAAAGGCCUACCAAGGCGACGAUCCAUAGCUGGUCUGAGAGGAUGAUCAGCCACACCGGGACUGAGACACGGCCCGGACUCCUACGGGAGGCAGCAGUGGGGAAUAUUGCGCAAUGGGCGAAAGCCUGACGCAGCCAUGCCGCGUGUGUGAAGAAGGCCUUCGGGUUGUAAAGCACUUUCAAUUGGGAGGAAAGGUUCACGGUUAAUAACCGUGAGCUGUGACGUUACCUUUAGAAGAAGCACCGGCUAACUCCGUGCCAGCAGCCGCGGUAAUACGGAGGGUGCAAGCGUUAAUCGGAAUUACUGGGCGUAAAGCGCGCGUAGGUGGUCUGUUAAGUCGGAUGUGAAAGCCCCGGGCUCAACCUGGGAACUGCAUCCGAUACUGGCAAACUAGAGUGCGGGAGAGGGAGGUAGAAUUCCACGUGUAGCGGUGAAAUGCGUAGAUAUGUGGAGGAAUACCAGUGGCGAAGGCGGCCUCCUGGCUCGACACUGACACUGAGGUGCGAAAGCGUGGGGAGCAGACAGGAUUAGAUACCCUGGUAGUCCACGCCGUAAACGAUGUCUACUAGCUGUAGGGGUACUUGAGACCUUUGUAGCGCAGCUAACGCAAUAAGUAGACCGCCUGGGGAGUACGGCCGCAAGGUUAAAACUCAAAUGAAUUGACGGGGGCCCGCACAAGCAGUGGAACAUGUGGGUUUAAUUCGAUGCAACGCGAAGAACCUUACCAGGGCCUUGACAUCCUCGGAACUUUCUAGAGAUAGAUUGGUGCCUUCGGGAACCGAGUGACAGUGCUGCAUGGCUGUCGUCAGCUC